rnacentral:rRNA from 1 species
UACGUAGGGUGCAAGCGUUGUCCGGAAUUAUUGGGCGUAAAGAGCUCGUAGGCGGUCUGUCGCGUCUGCUGUGAAAACUCGGGGCUUAACCCCGGGCCUGCAGUGGGUACGGGCAGACUAGAGUGCGGUAGGGGAGACUGGAAUUCCUGGUGUAGCGGUGAAAUGCGCAGAUAUCAGGAGGAACACCGGUGGCGAAGGCGGGUCUCUAGUACGGUACUGACGCUGAGACGCGAAAGCGUGGGGAGCAAACAGG